rnacentral:rRNA from 1 species
UACGUAGGGUGCGAGCGUUUGUCCGGAAUUAUUGGGCGUAAAGAGCUCGUAGGCGGUGUGUCACGUCGGCCGUGAAAACCUGGGGCUUAACUCUGGGCGUGCGGUCGAUACGGGCAUCACUAGAGUUCGGUAGGGGAGACUGGAAUUCCUGGUGUAGCGGUGAAAUGCGCAGAUAUCAGGAGGGAACACCGGUGGCGAAGGCGGGUCUCUGGGCCGAUACUGACGCUGGAGGGAGCGAAAGCGUGGGGAGCGAACAGG